rnacentral:rRNA from 1 species
CCUACGGGGAGCAGCAGUGAGGAAUAUUGGUCAAUGGACGAGAGUCUGAACCAGUCAAGUAGCGUGAAGGAUGACUGCCCUAUGGGUUGUAAACUUCUUUUAUAUGGGAAUAAAAUGUUCCACGUGUGGGAUUUUGUAUGUACCAUAUGAAUAAGGAUCGGCUAACUCCGUGCCAGCAGCCGCGGUAAUACGGAGGAUCCGAGCGUUAUCCGGAUUUAUUGGGUUUAAAGGGAGCGUAGGUGGAUUGUUAAGUCAGUUGUGAAAGUUUGCGGCUCAACCGUAAAAUUGCAGUUGAAACUGGCAGUCUUGAGUACAGUAGAGGUGGGCGGAAUUCGUGGUGUAGCGGUGAAAUGCUUAGAUAUCACGAAGAACUCCGAUUGCGAAGGCAGUUCACUGGACUGCAACUGACACUGAGGCUCGAAAGUGUGGGUAUCAAACAGGAUUAGAUACCCGUGUAGUC